CCGGGAAACUGAUGUGGAUGCAGCAAGAUCCAGAGCAAACAUUGCUGCUGCUGCUGCUGCUGCUGCUGCUGCUCUACAGGCAGCUGCAGGGCCAGAGGAAACUGAAGAUUCCGAGUGUGAGAACGCAGUAGAGGUGACGGUCAGGAUAGGAGCCACAUGGACAAAUGGAUGGACAGAUGGACAGCAGGUCCACAUGGACCACUGGACGAAUGAACAGAUGGUGGCCGGAGUAGUCCUUGUCAACAGCAGAGACUGAGCUGCAGAACCUAGCCUAGUUAGGCGUUCUCUGCCCGUCGGUCCCUUGAUCCGCACAGGGCUUUAGAUGACAGGUUGGCGCGGCCACCACCACCCCAGCAUUAGGUGGGCUUCUCGCUAUGGGAUCAGUCCCCCAUUUACUUUGAUGAAUGUCAAGGGGAAGCGUCUACUUUUAGAAAUAAGUUUUUUUUAUCAUUCUGCACCUCGCGGGUGGUGAGAGACUGAAGGACCUGUUCACAUAGACCCCAAGAUGCAACGUCAUUUCACUUCCGAAUUUGCGCUGAAAACGGAGCCAUGGUCAACUGGAAUCCCUCAGGGCCAGGCACAGGCUGGGCAAUCACUGCUUUGCAGGGUCUGUGCAGACUCAGGGUGGAGCACAGACUGACCUCAACAGUAAGCAGGCCAUAGUGCAGGAGAGGGCUUCCAUUAGGAGCAUGGAGCCUUCCAGGCCCGGCUGGCAGGGAAUGGUUCUGACAUCUGUGUGUUUAGCUUCACAGCUGUGGAAUGUUUCAACCAGAAACUCGGAGGGAAAGAUGCUCCCCCACCAAGAAUGACCAAACGCCAUCACGAACUAGACGUGGAACAGAUGCUGUGCAAAAAGUGUUAGUGGAGGAAGGUGAGCCAGAGCGAGAAAGGAACAAAGGGAGGCAGGGACUGGAGUCUCCUUCCCAGAGCCAGAACUCUAACGCAAGCUGGGUGUCGGCAGUGACAGGGACAGCUUGUCUGCUCUCGUGAAUGAUGCAUGGUGCUCCAAGGAUUUGUUUGAUGUUGAAAUGUUUUCUUGAGCAAGAGUCACAAAAGGAACGAUUGUUGCCUGACAUUGCUUCAUGUUUAUGAGACCGUGAUGACCGGCGUGGUCACUUCGUGAUGGGGCGGUGAGCGCGUCUCUUGCCGUGUGCUGCCUUUAGCCAUGUCUUGGGCUUGUCUCUCCAGUUUAGCUGCUGCCCUGACCUGUAUGUAACUAAUGGCAUUUAUGUGUUUUAGGAAUUCUAAAGAAAAACUUCCCACUUAACAAUUCUAAAAAAAAAAAAAAAAAAAAAAACCACGCAGUUUCAAUAAAAUCUCCUUAAAACCCCAUCAAACAAACAGAGAACCCUUGAGAUCGGCACUCUGGGGCUUAUCAAGAUGAAGCCAGCUCCAAAAGGCCAGGGACAUUAGCAGCUGACUCAGCCAAGGAAAUCUCGAGCCAGGAUGUACAAAGCCAAGGCCAGGGUUUAGAGAGGGAGCCAAAGGGCCCCAGGGUAUUUGUCUCCCAGCUUCUCUCUGUGAGUGUUCCUGUUGCUAUGGGGACAGAAGGCCUCUGGCAGGGAGAACUAUUCUAUCCAUCGCUGGCUACACGUGGAGGUGCCUUGCUUUGCUGUUGUUGUUUUCCUUGUGUUGUUUUUCAAACAGCACCUAUAAUUUCAGCCAACUCAGAACACCGAUACCCAAUUAAGAGCAGAACGGAAUGGAAGCAUCGUACUUGGGUGCUUUACCCUGGCAUUUUCCUCUUCUGGGGAGAAUGAGAAGUUAGAAACAAGAAUGGGGGGGGGGGUGUGAGACACAGUUAACCCACUACAACGUUCUUUGUUCCUGGGCGUCUCUGUGCUGCCCGUGUGGUUUCCACUGCUGUGAGCAGGCUUAGCAGGCUCCGCGCCUCCGCCACCAGCACAAGGCCAAGCUGCUGUCCUCAGAGCCUCUUUCCAGAGCUGAGUUCCUAGAGGACUUUCUCAACCAGCCAGAUAGAUACAUGCUCAUUUAAAUUCAAGCACGCACCCCCACAGGCUGAUCCGGGAGGGAGGGGAGGCUCACCCUGAAUUGAAUGACAAAUAAUACGCGUGGCAAAAACAACAUCAGCACUUAUUUGCCAAUGAAAGGACACUGGAAAUUAUUUCUGAUGGAAAUAUGAAAGAUGAAAUUCAAGCAGGGAGUGGGAGAGGAUUUUUCUUUUUUCUUUCUUAAAACUCGUCAAGAAGCAACUCCAUUGUUUCCCUGUAAAAGGACACUUUCUGUCCUGUGUGGGGAACUCAGUGGGCAGGUAGGACCCUGACCCCAGUGGAGGGUGCUAGGCCACUAAGCAGAGUUCAUGGGGGGAGGGGGCAGAAAAGUAACUCGGAUCUACAGGGGGUUCCCCUGAUGGUAGGUCAGCUCAGCAUCAUUUCCCUUCCUCUGGCAGCUUCCAGUCUUCUGUCAUUUUCCCUCUCUCACGCCAGCGUCAGACCCAUUAUUCCACAGGGAACAUCAAUCUCGAGAGGCGCCUGCAGCUUUGGGACAUGAACUACAUCUUGAGAUGGAGCUGUUAGACUCUGUCCCCUUUUCAUCGGUCAUAAGCCAACAAGAAUUCACCUGGAGCUGCCAGUGGGUAGGGACUCAGCCAUGGGCCAGCCUGCCUGAGGGCCUAAACAAUCCGAGUCAGGAGAGGAAGAGUGACGGGUUCCUAACUUGGUCCUAUGGACACCUGCAUUCGUUCAUUCCUGAAGCUAAACUGCCCUGGACCUGCUCUGAUGUUCGUUUCUGUAUUAGCUACUUUUCUACCUCUGUGAUAAAAACACCGUCACCAUGGUAAUUGAUAGAUCAAAGGGUUUAUUUGGGUUUACAAUUCCAGACCGGGAGAAUCCACGGUGGCGGUGGGGUGGUGGCGGUGUGAAGGCACAGCAGGAAACCGAGAGCUCAUGUCUUGAACAACAAACAUAAAACAGAGAGGAAAAGGGCAAGUCUUUUAAAUCUCAAAACCCACCCCCAGUGACGUACUUCCUCCAACAAGGCCACACCUCCACCAGCGCCAUCCACUGAAGACAAGUAUUCGAACAUCCAAACCUGUGGGGGACAUUGUCAUUCAGACCACCGCAGCUACCCGGGGAACUCAGUUCUGUCCAGGUUCCUGUCCCAUGCCCUCAUGCACUGAGCAAGGUGGACUGGUGGCUGCCCCUAAAAUAGCUUGGGUAGUGUGUGUCACUGGGUACCAGAAACAGACCUGAGCUUGAAUUCCCAAAGAAACAGGGUCAGGAUAUAACCACCUUACUUCCAGGGAGUCAGAGCUCAGGGAAGGCUGCUGCGUACCAGGGCCUCGUCUUUCUCUUACUCUAGACUAAGAACUUGAUAAAAGUAAGAGUGUCUAGUGAAGGCGGAGAGAUCGGGUGCUUAAUAAAAGGAAUCCCACAUUAACUCAGAACUAAAAAAGCAGAUCAGUGUUUAUUAAGGGGUAGACUUACAAAGUCAGGAUGUUCUGUUUGAAUGAUGGACGAAGAUCAGAUCCAAAGCAAACCAAACAGCAAAAACGGGGCCCAGGGGCAAGCAGAGAGGAAGGAAGGGGCCCGGACACACUUCCGCAUCUGGGUAAGAAGUCCACGAGGCCACGCCCCAGUAGGCGGGUAGGUAUUAGCUGUAACCUUCCCGCCGCAGUCUAGGGACCCCAACUGAGAACUCCUGGAGCCCAAACUUUAGGUGUUGACAACCUUAAGACGCCAAAGUAUCUGAAUACGGACUAGAUACCGUUUCCACCACUGGCAAAAAUGCCUGAGAGAAGCAGCUUAAGGGAAGAAGAAGUUGUUUUGGGUCACAUUUUGAGAGCUGUGAGUUCCUUACCAUGAGGAAGGCCGCCCUGCAUGCCCUGUGCUGGAGCACAUCUCUGGGACUCCUUACGUCUGUGAACCAGGAAGUGGAGGCUGGGCUGGAAGCAGAGUGAAGCUAUAACCCUCAAGGCUGGGUUUCCGGUGACCCAUUUCCUUCAUCUGUGGCCCACCUACCAAAGUUCCAGAACAUCUCAAAACAGCACCAAAGGCUGAGGACCAAGUGUCCAGACGCAUGAACCUGUGGGGGAUAUUUUACACUCAAACCGUAACAGACAGGGUCUCUCCGUGAACCUGCAGCUCACUGUUUCAGCUACACCGGCAAGCCAGUGAGUUCCCAGGAUCCACCUGUCGGUGUUCCUCCAGGACCAGAAAUACAGAUAUCUGCCACCAUGCCUG